AUAUUGGACAAUGGGCGCAAGCCUGAUCCAGCAAUGCCGCGUGAGUGAAGAAGGCCUUAGGGUUGUAAAGCUCUUUCACCCACGACGAUGAUGACGGUAGUGGGAGAAGAAGCCCCGGCUAACUCCGUGCCAGCAGCCGCGGUAAUACGGAGGGGGCUAGCGUUGUUCGGAAUUACUGGGCGUAAAGCGCACGUAGGCGGCGCGAACAGUCAGAGGUGAAAGGCCUGGGCUCAACCUAGGAACUGCCUUUGAUACUAGCGUGCUUGAGUCCGGAAGAGGGUGGCGGAAUUCCCAGUGUAGAGGUGAAAUUCGUAGAUAUUGGGAAGAACACCGGUGGCGAAGGCGGUCACCUGGUCCGGUACUGACGCUGAGGUGCGAAAGCGUGGGGAGCAAACAGG
rnacentral:rRNA from 1 species